GCCAGCAGCCGCGGUAAUUCCAGCUCCAAUAGCGUAUACUAAAAUUGUUGCGGUUAAAAAGCUCGUAGUUGCAUUUGUGCGCCGCGCUGUCGGUGCACCGCAUCCGCGGUGAUACUGACACGUCUGCGGAGCAUAUCGUCGGUGAGCCGGCGGUAAUACGCCGGUUCAAUAUCAAAAUCCUAUCGCGGUGCUCUUCGGUGAGUGUCGAGGUGGGCCGACAAUUUUACUUUGAACAAAUUAGAGUGCUCAAAGCGGGCUCAAAAUGCUGCUUGAAUAUUUCGUGCAUGGAAUAAUAGAAUAUGAUCUCGGUUCUAUUUUGUUGGUUUUCAGAACUCCGAGGUAAUGAUUAAUAGGGAUAACUGGGGGCAUUCGUAUUGCGACGUUAGAGGUGAAAUUCUUGGAUCGUCGCAAGACGAACAUCAGCGAAAGCAUUUGCCAAAGGUGUUUUCAUCAAUCAAGAACGAAAGUUAGAGGUUCGAAGGCGAUUAGAUACCGCCCUAGUUCUAACCGUAAAUAUGUCAUCUAGCGAUCCGCCGACGUUACUACAAUGGCUCGGCGGGCAGCUUCCGGGAAACCAAAGAUUUUGGACUCCGGGGGGAGUAUGGUUGCAAAGCUGAAACUUAAAGGAUUGACGGAAGA
rnacentral:rRNA from 1 species